GUCAGCCCCCUCUCUCUCUCUCUCUCUCUCGUCAUCUCCCCCGCCCCACGCCAUCGGCACCGCUGGUCGCGCUGCCACGGCCGCUCCCGCACGACACGCGGCGCGCCUCUUACUACCCCUACCAAAUCGCCUCGCCGAACAAUCCCGAUUCGAUUCACUAGGUCGACGCCACCAGCUGCCGCCGGAAGUUGGUGGCGAACGCAUCCAUGAGCGCGCGGCGGAGCACCACUGACACCUGCACGCCGCCGUCCGCCGCGCCCAGCAUCAUCACCACCUCCUCGCCGUACACGGUGGCCAGCUCGGCGCGGCUCGGCGCGCCCCACCCGAAGUCCGUCUCGUACGCCAUGUACCGGUGCGA